rnacentral:rRNA from 1 species
UACGUAGGGGGCUAGCGUUGUCCGGAAUCAUUGGGCGUAAAGAGCGUGUAGGCGGUCCGGUAAGUCCGCUGUGAAAGUCGGGGGCUCAACCCUCGAAUGCCGGUGGAUACUGUCGGGCUAGAGUGCGGAAGAGGCGAGUGGAAUUCCUGGUGUAGCGGUGAAAUGCGCAGAUAUCAGGAGGAACACCUAUUGCGAAGGCAGCUCGCUGGGACGUUACUGACGCUGAGGCGCGAAAGCGUGGGGAGCAAACAGG